ACCGCCCAGGGAAUCUGCCUCCUGCCCCGUGCUCCAGCUUCUAACCCUGCACCCCGCAAAGAGGUCCCAACAACACACGCCGUACCAAUGUUUUACUGUUAGAUCAUCUGAGCAUCAAAACAGGAAAUAACUAUCUGACGAUGCACUGUUAUGUGCCACCCUCUUCAUCUUGAUGCACUGUCAGGUCCUACCCUCUUCUAUUGACGAUACACUGUCAUGCCCUACCCUCUUCUCUUGAUGCACUGUCAUGUGCCACCCUCUUCUCUUGAUGCACUGUCAUGUGCCACCCUCUUCUCUUGAUGAACUGUCAGGUCCUACCCUCUUCUCUUGAUGAACUGUCAGGUCCUACCCUCUUCUAUUGAUGAUACACUGUCUGGUCCUACCCUCUUCUCUUGAUACACUGUCUGGCCCUACCCUCUUCUAUUGAUGAACUGUCAGGCCCUACCCUCUUGAUGAUACACUGUCAGGCCCUACCCUUUUGAUGAUACACUGUCUGGUCCUACCCUCUUGAUGAUACACUGUCUGGCCCUACCCUCUUGAUGAUACACUGUCUGGCCCUAUCCUCUUCUCUUGAUGAUACACUGUCUGGCCCUACCCUCUUGAUGAUACACUGUCUGGCCCUACCCUCUUGAUGAUACACUGUCUGGCCAUACCCUCUUCUCUUGAUGAUACACUGUCUGGUCCUACCCUCUUGAUGAUACACUGUCUGGCCCUACCCUCUUGAUGAUACACUGUCUGGCCAUACCCUCUUCUCUUGAUGAUACACUGUCAGGUCCAACCCUCUUCUCUUGAUGAUACACUGUCAGGUCCAACCCUCUUCUCUUGAUGAUACACUGUCAGGUCCAACCCUCUUCUCUUGAUGAUACACUGUCAGGUCCAACCCUCUUCUCUUGAUGAUACACUGUCAGGUCCAACCCUCUUCUCUUGAUGAUACACUGUCAGGUCCAACCCUCUUCUCUUGAUGAUACACUGUCAGGUCCAACCCUCUUCUCUUGAUGAUACACUGUCAGGUCCAACCCUCUUCUCUUGAUGAUACACUGUCAGGUCCAACCCUCUCUGCUUGGGUCCACAUGAAUAACCUCCACAUGGCAGGGCUCUACAGAGGGUACAUUUUACUUACAUUUGCGCCUAAAUAUUUUGCUGUGCAACCUGGAAUUUGAAUUUAGGAGCACCAGUGCACCUAUAAAAAUGAAGUAUUCUCGCUACGUUGUUCAACCUGUCAACGUAGUGUGGUAUGUGCUUUCUGUUUGACAUGUAACAUUAUGGAUGUAAAUUGUGAUUGUUGAAGUUAGCUGCAGCCACCGACACCAGCCCUGGAUCUCAGUCUGAAUCAUAAAUGAUGCAAAAAUAACUCUGAACCUGAUGAAACACAGGACCUGUUCGUAGACGGGGCUUCAUGCAGCCUUGGAAUAUCAACAACAACAACAACGUUGAAAGUACGUCUUGUGCUCACUGGGAUACUGAUACAGCUCCAGGGAUAAACAGAGCUCCUGAUUGAAUCGAUCCCCAGGUCGGUAUGUUGAACCCAGCUGGAGGUGUUUCUCUGUAUUCUGAAACACCUGUUCCUUUAACCCACCUGGUGAUGGUAAAGGGAAACUCUAUACUUGAAAUCAAUGUGUUUUUAUUCAUCAGCUGUAUAGUAGGCUUUCUUUAGUUAACCAAAGCCAUAACUAGUCAGUUUAUCAUAUUUUAAUAUAUAUACCAUGUGAUUAUUUAUUUGUUGGUGAUAUUUACUAUAGAAACCAAGUGGCUGGUUCUCUUGGUUCCUGCUGUCAAAGGUCUUUGAUCUAGCUGCUCAUCAUCCUUCAUAUUCUUUAUAACCAAGUGGCUGGUUCUCUUGGUUCCUGCUGUCAAAGGUCUUUGAUCUAGCUGCUCAUCAUCCUUCAUCUUCUUUAUAACCAAGUGGCUGGUUCUCUUGGUUCCUACUGUCAAAGGUCUUUGAUCUAGCUGCUCAUCAUCCUUCAUCUUCUUCUUCUUAUUUAAAGGGAAUGUUGUUGAAUAAAUGAUUUGACUUAAUGGCUUUAUUCUAGUUUUGAACUGCCCAGUGUAUAUCCUAGGGUCUGGACUGUUGGUCUAAAGGUUAAUGCAGACAAUAUGUACUGUUUCAAUCCUCAUACUGAGACGAGCCUGAGUGCCAGUCUGUUCCUGCUAAUAUGUUUGUGUUGACGAUUCCAUAAGGAGUUGGCAAGAGAGCAGAAAUGUUUGUUUCACAUACCUGUCAAUAAUACUAUAUGAAUCAAAUUCAGAUGUAAUGUUUGUUUCACAUACCUAUUAAUAAUGCUAUUGUAAUCAUGGGUUUAUGCUUUUGAGUGGAGCACCAUCAGCUGAACCCGUCAUGUAGAACAAGUUAUUCAACUGAUUAGAGUUCAGUACAACACUAUUAUAUAGAAGGAUAUGUUGCUGUUAUGAACGUGUAAACAUCAGAGGGAGAGAGAAAGGUUUGGCAACAACCACUCAGCCUCACUCUGUCAGGAGAGGA